rnacentral:rRNA from 1 species
UACGUAGGGGGCAAGCGUUGUCCGGAAUCAUUGGGCGUAAAGAGCGCGUAGGCGGCCCGAUAAGUCCGCUGUGAAAGUCAAGGGCUCAACCCUUGAAUGCCGGUGGAUACUGUCGGGCUAGAGUCCGGAAGAGGCGAGUGGAAUUCCUGGUGUAGCGGUGAAAUGCGCAGAUAUCAGGAGGAACACCGAUGGCGAAGGCAGCUCGCUGGGACGGUACUGACGCUGAGGCGCGAAAGCGUGGGGAGCAAACGGG